AUGGGAGCCAUGUGCAAGUAAUUUGCAAUACCAAACGAUGGUCAUGAGCAGCAUACCAUAUCAUGCAAGCCUCAGUAGCAAAGGUUACAGAUCUCUUAUAUACAGGUUGAGUAGGAAUAUAUAUUACUUGUGUUUGCAAGAUUGGAAUAACUACAAACAGAAAUUGGUGAAGUUCAUCUAUGUUUUUUAAUUGAGCAAUGGACAUCAUGAUAAGCUUGAUACCUUCCUAUCAACCCAAACAUGGAUAAAAUCUCUUAACUACUCCAUUGUUAAUGAUUGGCGACCAUGGAUCGUUGAAAAUCAAGUUCCCGGGGAGCAGGCCAUACUGCACCAGAGUAUAAACCUCGUGAAUGCCUGGCGAUGGUAAGAAGGUGGAUGUCUUACCAGGCCUUAUAAACAACAAAUGUAUCACAAUUUGAAAUCACUGUCAAGAUUCCAUUAUAUAGGGGGAAAAAUCAAGAGUAAGUUAUAAUUACAAAAAUUUGUCAAUUCAACUAUAUGGUCUAAAGGUGUGGUGCUCCAAUUCUUCAGCUAGAAUUACAUGAACAAUAUU